rnacentral:tRNA from 1 species
GUGGUUUAGAUGAUCACUAACGUAUGCAAUUGCCCAUAUUCUCUGCUCUCCGAAGGCAGGGGUCACAGGUUCGAAUCCUGUCGGGUGCACCA